rnacentral:lncRNA from 1 species
GUGUGUGUGUGUGUGUGUGUGUAGUGGGGAGUUGUGUACUGGGGUUUGAACCCAGGACCUUCACACUGAAUUACAUCCCCUGCCAUUUUUAAAUUCUGAGACAGGGCCUCAUUAAGUCACUAAAUUGCCUAUGUUGGGCUCAAACUUGAGAUCCUCCUGCCUCAGCCUCCUAGAGUGCUGGAAUGACAGUCAGGUUCCACCAUGCCUGGCUAUCACUGGCUUUUCUAAUCACUACUUUCCUAAUUAUCAGGCAUUUUCAAAUGCUGUGACAAGAUUUUACCUCAGCCUGGCACAUAGUAGGCUCAGAAGAAAUGUAUCUUGGAUGGACGGAUAAGAAGGUAGAUUUGUGGAUGAAGGAAAGAGGACAGAUAUGCAGGGAGAAGGCAAAAGAAUAGGAGGUGGUACAUGUGUAGACCUCCAGACCCCUCCUCGAUGGGCGCAAGGGCUUCUCCUUGAGAAAUCUGGUCAGGACCACAUGUCUCCUGCCAAAAAUGUCCAACUGGUCCCAGAGGAAAUCACUGGACAAGAGCGCAAAGAUGUGUGUACAAGGAUGUUCAUUGCGGAAUUGUUUGUAAGAGCGAAGGAUUGGAAACAACCCAAAUGUCCGACGGUGGGGGCUGGUUAAAUGAAUUAUGGACCAGCCACACAAUGGCGAACUGUGCAGCUCUUAAAAAAUGAUGAUGUAGAUGUAUAUUUAUCGAAAUGGCAAGACAUUCACAAUAUAUUAUAGAGCAGAAAAAGCAGGUUACAGAGGCAGAUGUAUAAAGCAAGAUGCCAUUUCUGUUUUUUUUAAAUCUAUGUCAACAAAAGUAGGCAUCGAAAUGGUAGCCAAGGGGCGAGGGAUAGUGGCUGAUUAAAAAUGCUUUUAUACAUGAGAACACACACACACAUAUGCACAUGUAUGAAUUUGCACG